ACACACACACACACACACACACACACACACACUCGCGCGUGCGCACGCACGUAAACAAAGGCGGUGCUGGGGGCCACGUUAACAACAUGCAGACUACCUUGCAGGAAAGGGGGACGCUGCUAACGCAGCUAUGAGAAGACAGACAGAAAGUGUUUCCACAAAAGAGGUGGGGAAAGAGGGAAGCACAUAAAAAAAGACUCUUUGCGACUCCCGGCUUGGACUGGAAAAACAGCUUCGGAAGAAAACAAACUGCAAUUAUCAUCUGUUCCUGAAGAAUUACAUCGUAUCUCCUAAUCUUGGUAUGGGGGCUAAUCUGAACUCUGGAUGAUGAACUGCUCGUUCCGGCAACAAAAACAACGCACAUUCCAGGAUGGAACCCAAAGACCAAGCGGUGAAUCUCCUCAGCAAAAUUUGGGCCAAGCUACAGAGUUUGCCCAGUGCCAACCCAGUCGAGUUGGGGGGUUUCUUCAUCCUCUUAACAUUCAUCUUGGUGGUUGUUGCCAUGGCCGUCCUGAUCUGCACGACAUACUCUUGUUGCCGCUGCUGCUGUUGCCGCAGGGACAAAAAGGAGGGGGCAAACAUUUGAAGGCAUCUCAACUACACCCAUUUUAAACACCAGUUCUCAUCAUUAAGUUCAUUUAAAGCACGCAAACUUCAAAACAGGAUUGCACCAAGGGCGCCAAGUCUCACAGAGACAACCUGUGAUGGGACUCAGGCAAAUGAGGUCAGGCCGGAGGGUGAGAAGAGGCCCCGCCCUCAAAAGCAACUGACACAAACAAUGAUGCCCUGACUCAAUGCUCAACACACCUUCUGAAGCUGACUAUCAAGACAAUCGACAUUCCUUGAAUCAGCCGGGCGCACCGAGCUCCUGGCUGGAGGACAGGACACAACCAAACCAUAAUUGAACAUGUCACCACAUAAACUGAAGUUGGGUUAAGAAAACAUGACGAUUUAGGUCAACGUGCUUUUU